GACGAACGCUGGCGGCGUGCUUAACACAUGCAAGUCGAACGGAAAGGCCCUGCUUGCAGGGUACUCGAGUGGCGAACGGGUGAGUAACACGUGGGUGAUCUGCCCUGCACUUCGGGAUAAGCCUGGGAAACUGGGUCUAAUACCGGAUAGGAGCCAUUUUUAGUGUGAUGGUUGGAAAGUUUUUUCGGUGUAGGAUGAGCUCGCGGCCUAUCAGCUUGUUGGUGGGGUAAUGGCCUACCAAGGCGGCGACGGGUAGCCGGCCUGAGAGGGUGGACGGCCACAAUGGGACUGAGAUACGGCCCAGACUCCUACGGGAGGCAGCAGUGGGGAAGAUUGCACAAUGGGCGCAAGCCUGAUGCAGCGACGCCGCGUGGGGGAUGACGGCCUUCGGGUUGUAAACUCCUUUCGCUAGGGACGAAGCUUUUUGUGACGGUACCUAGAUAAGAAGCACCGGCUAACUACGUG
rnacentral:rRNA from 1 species